AUACGGAGGAUGCGAGCGUUAUCCGGAUUUAUUGGGUUUAAAGGGAGCGUAGGUGGGAUAUUAAGUCAGCUGUGAAAGUUUGGGGCUCAACCUUAAAAUUGCAGUUGAUACUGGUUUCCUUGAGUACGGUACAGGUGGGCGGAAUUCGUGGUGUAGCGGUGAAAUGCUUAGAUAUCACGAAGAACUCCGAUCGCGAAGGCAGCUCACCUGGCCGGAACUUACACUGAUGCUCGAAAGUGCGGGUAUCAAACAGGAUUAGAGACCCUGGUAGUCCGCACAGUAAACGAUGAAUACUCGCUGUUUGCGAUACACUGUAAGCGGCCAAGCGAAAGCGUUAAGUAUUCCGCCUGGGGAGUACGCCGGCAACGGUGAAACUCAAAGGAAUUGGCGGGG
rnacentral:rRNA from 1 species